UACAGAAGGUGCAAGCGUUAAUCGGAAUUACUGGGCGUAAAGGGUGCGUAGGUGGUUAGAUAAGUUAAGUGUGAAAUCCCCGGGCUUAACCUGGGAACUGCGCUUAAUACUGUUUGACUAGAGUACUGUAGAGGAAGGUGGAAUUUCCAGUGUAGCGGUGAAAUGCGUAGAUAUUGGAAGGAACAUCAGUGGCGAAGGCGACUGUCUGGACAGAUACUGACACUGAGGCACGAAAGCAUGGGGAGCAAACAGG
rnacentral:rRNA from 1 species